rnacentral:lncRNA from 1 species
AUUAUAAUUUAUCUAUCCAAUCCAAAAACAUGUUAAGUAUCAAUUAAACUACGUCAUUAUUAAGUAUAAUAAAUUAACGAGACAGUUAUGGCCCUAAAAUUUUUGUUCAUUAAUCCCUAAAGAUUUGUACGAACAAUUUUCGUCCAUUCACUAGUCUCAACGAGUAACACGUGAAUUAUGCACCCCUUUAUCCACCUCCAUUAUCAAGAAUUUACCCUUGAAGAUCCUCUCAUUUUGUCCUUUACAUCCUGAAAGGAAAGUUCUUUGAAGAUGCAGCAUAGAAGAUAAUCGAUUAAUAAUAGUAAGAGGGCUUCACAACAGAUAUGAACGAAUACACUACUUCGAUACCGAAAACAGGACAGACAAUUCUGUCAUCGAUGUGGAAAUCCUUUGUCGUCCUUGGUUUAGGAUUAAUCCUAGUCCUGCUGGCUAUAUUAAUAGCGGCCAUAACACACAAGUGGGAGAAAAACAGAGUUCUAGCCGUCUACGUUAUUGGAAGUGUUGGAUUGUAUAUCGUGAUAUCAGUUGUUGUAUACCUGCUAAUAAAACUCUGCCAGAGAAGAGAGACUGAUAACUCUGUUGUUAUUACUCACCGUGGUACAAAUAAUACCUUCGAAAUGACAUCACUACCGGUGUCCACCCCGCUUUAUGCAUCCGGAAUUCCUCCAAGACUUCUUAAUAUACCACCUCCGCCUUAUUCUCCAGAAAAUUAUAAUUUUAGUCCCAGGUAUUUUACUACCGAUGAUUUACCGCCGAGGUACUGAUAAAAUGUGGAAAAACAGAGGAAUAAUGUAAAAUAUUGUAUAUAUCAGAACUAUAGUUAUACGGACUUUGGGCUUAUUGUAAAUUACGGAAUAAUUUAUCGCUUUUAUUAAAAUAAAUAUUGUAUAAUAUGCCUUUACAUGCAUAAUUAUGGCGGCUGAACCACUGUAUCAUAAAACUCUAUACUGUAAGUGAUGACUAUGUAAUAAAUUGUUAACUUUACCCAUUGCUUAAUUGUUAUUUUAAUGAAUAUAUCAUCUAAGCUAAUGAUAAGGGGUGAUAAUAUGCUAAUGAAAAUUUACAGCUCGUAAUGAUUUCAAAAUUAGGUGCAACAUCAUGUUUAAUUAUACAGGUAAAAUAUAAUUACACAGGCUUAUAAUUAAGUAAAUUUUGUUUACCCUAAUACACCCAUUUAAUGCAUAAAAUGGAUGCAUUUAAACACAGCGCAACAGAUAAUUUUAGUAUUUUAUUUUAUUUUUUUAAUGCAGGUUUAUCCAGUAGAUCUACUAAUCUACUUUGAUAUAAGCAAUAAAUCAAAAUUUUCGACAUUCUACCGGGAUUUUUUAUACUGUUUUAUAAAGUUUUCAUUACGAAAUUGUAAAAUUUCAUCAGAAAUUUGAAUCCUGCCUGAUAUAUUAGCUAAUACAAAUGGGUGUUUGGUAAGUUAUGAAAUUUGCUGCCGUCAGAAACUGUUAAGCACACCAAUCCAACAGUAAAAUACACAACGGCAGUGAACUCUGUAAAGAACACAAGCAACUUCCACGCGUAUUAUUAGUAAUAAGUAUCAGCUUUAU